rfam:Myotis davidii contig5203, whole genome shotgun sequence.
GGCAGUUCUCAGAUGACGCACCCCGGAAUCGGGCUCCCUUCUCUCUAGUUCCGGGUGCAUCACCCGAGAAUCACA